GUCCUAGUAGCUUAAAAUUUAAAGCACUGGUCUUGUAAGCCAGAAAUGAGACCUUCCCUCCUAGGGUA